rnacentral:rRNA from 1 species
UCCGUAGGGUGAACCUGCGGAGGGAUCAUUACACAAAUAUGAAGGCGGGCUGGAACCUCUCGGGGUUACAGCCUUGCUGAAUUAUUCACCCUUGUCUUUUGCGUACUUCUUGUUUCCUUGGUGGGUUCGCCCACCACUAGGACAAACAUAAACCUUUUGUAAUUGCAAUCAGCGUCAGUAACAAAUUAAUAAUUACAACUUUCAACAACGGAUCUCUUGGUUCUGGCAUCGAUGAAGAACGCAGCGAAAUGCGAUAAGUAGUGUGAAUUGCAGAAUUCAGUGAAUCAUCGAAUCUUUGAACGCACAUUGCGCCCUUUGGUAUUCCAAAGGGCAUGCCUGUUCGAGCGUCAUUUGUACCCUCAAGCUUUGCUUGGUGUUGGGCGUCUUGUCUCUAGCUUUGCUGGAGACUCGCCUUAAAGUAAUUGGCAGCCGGCCUACUGGUUUCGGAGCGCAGCACAAGUCGCACUCUCUAUCAGCAAAGGUCUAGCAUCCAUUAAGCCUUUUUUUCAACUUUGACCUCGGAUCAGGUAGGAUG